UACGUAGGGAGCAAGCGUUGUUCGGAUUUACUGGGCGUAAAGGGCGCGUAGGCGGCCAGCACAAGUCAGGUUGUGAAAUCUCCGGGCUUAACUCGGAAAGGUCAACUGAUACUGUGCGGCUAGAGUGCAGAAGGGGCAACUGGAAUUCUCGGUGUAGCGGUGAAAUGCGUAGAUAUCGAGAGGAACACCUGCGGCGAAGGCGGGUUGCUGGGCUGACACUGACGCUGAUGCGCGAAAGCCAGGGGAGCGAACGGG
rnacentral:rRNA from 1 species